ACACUUACCUGGCAGGGGAGAUGCCAUGAUCAGGAAGGUGGUUUCCCCGGGGCGAGGCUGAUCCCCUGCACUCCGGACGUGCUGACCCCUGCGAUUUCCCCAAACAUGGGAAACUCAACUGCAUAAUUUGUGGUAGUGCAGGACUGCAUUCUCGCUUUCCCCUA